ensembl:lncRNA
AUGCUAUGCAGUAAUUACUAUAUUUAUGAAUUUAGCACCAAAAUAUCACAAUAUAUUGAAAACAUUGACUACAAAAAUGUGUUGGAUAAUCCAGAACAUUGGAUAAGCGAGUGUUGGAUAAGUGAGACUCUACUGUACAUGUAUUAUUUUACUCUAUUAUUAUUAGGAUACAUAAGCACAUUUACAUUGAAGAAGAUGAGAAUAAUGAUUGGAUCAGAGUUGGACAGUUUUAUCUUAAAUCUGAGCUUGAUGUAAAUAUUAAAAAACAUUUAACCUACUGAUGCCUCAAUUAAUAUAAUGUUAUUGGUAUCUAUUUUUAUUUCUGAAAUUUACCACCCUCGGCUUAUACUGGAGUCAAUGUUUUCCCAGUUUUUUGUGGUAAAAUUAGAUGCCUCGGCUUAUAUUCGGUAUGGCUUAUACUUGAGUAUACACGGUAAUUGUAGUGGCUUAGUUGUCCUUUUGAUUUACAUUUCCCCAGAUUGAAAAGAUUCCUCUGAUCCUAGGAACAAUAUGUAGUGGAGAUUAAGCCCUUCUCAACAUUGUGGAAUUUACGGCAAAGGAUUCCACUUUGAAAUCUGGAGAAGUGAAAGGCCACCACCAGGUGGCAAUGUUACUGAAAGAGAGAAGUUGAAGUCCAAUUUGUAGAAUAAUUCACAAAGAAAAAUAACAAGGCUGCUCAAAUUAUAUCAUGAAAUGGAUAAGCUGUAUCAUUCCCUAUCUAAAUGUAACACACCUUGGAACUAUCUAAAUGUUACAACACCAGAGGUUUGUAAAAACACUGUUACGAAACAAUGAUGCAACAGAAGAAGAGGUUGCUACUUACCUACUAAUUGUGGUCCUUCAAGUCAUCAUCUGUGAUUUCUCACAAAGGGGUUCUUGUUGAGACUGCUUUGGCAUCUUCCACAACUGAGCAAUUUGGGUUGAAAGCUCAUCUCCAUCAGCUCUAGCUUUACUUGACACUCUGCUCUCCAAAUGUGGCAGAUGGGGAACUCCAGGACAAUUGGUCUCUAUGUCAACCGGGGCCUAAACACCUUAAAGCAACAUUUCUCAAUCUGGAGGUCAGGAUCUCUAGGGCAGGGGUCCCCAAACUUUUUAAACAGGGGGCCAGUUUACGAUCCUUCGGACCGUUGGAGGGCCGGACUAUAGUUGGCCACCGAGCAAUAAUAAUAAUUAAUAACAACAACAACAACAAUAAAGAGGGUUGGAAGAGACCCCUUGGGCCAUUGAGUCCAACCCCCUUCUGCCUUUAUGCACCGAAACCACAAGCACAGCACCCCUGACAGAUGGCUACCCAGCCUCAAAGUUAAUAAUAAUAAUAAUAAUAAUAAUAAUAAUAAUAAUAAUAAUAAUAAUACAGGGUUUUGGAACACAAUACUCCUGACCUCACAAUUGUUGAAAAGCUGACACGAUAUGAGGAUUUAAAGAUUGAAUUACAAAGACUCUGGCACAAGCCAGUCAAGGUGGUCCCAGUGGUGAUCGGCACACUGGGUGCAGUGCCUAAAGACCUUGGCCUGCACUUACACACAAUCGGCGCUAACAAAAUUACCAUCUGCCAGCUACAGAAGGCCACCUUACUGGGAUCUGCAUGCGUUAUUCGCCGAUACAUCACACAGUCCUAGACACUUGGGAAGUGUCCGACAUAUGAUCCAAUACAACAACCAGCAGAGUGUCUGCUGUGGACUCAUCUUGUUGUGUUUCUAAUAAUAAUAAUAAUAAUAAUAAUAAUAAUAAUAAUAAUAAUAAUAGCGUUAAGAGAAGAAGAGACCCUUGGGUCAUUUAGCCCAACCCCCUUCUGCCCUUGUGCCAUGGGGGCUGGAUAAAUGGCUUCGAUGGGCCGCAUCCGGCCCCCCGAGCCUUAGUUUGGGGACCCCUGCUCUAGGGGGUCUGUAAAGGGAGUUUCAGGGCGGUCACCUAAGACCAUCAGAAACACAUAUUUCUGGUGGUCUUAGGAACCCAAAUCCCUCCAGUAUUUUCUGUUGGUCAUGGGGGUUCUCUGUGGGAGGUUUGGCCCAAUUCUAUCAUUGGUGGGGUUCAAGGGGCUCUUUGAUUCCCAGCAACUACAACCCCCAAAUGUCAAGGUUUAUUUCCCCCAAACUCCACCAGUGUCCAAAUUUAGGCAUAUUGAGUAUUCGUGCCAAGUUUGGUCCAGAUCCAUCAUUGUUGGAGUCCACAGUGCUCUGUGGAUGUAGGUGAACUACAACUCCCAAACUCAAGGGCAAUGCCCACCAAACCCUUCCAGUAUUUUCUGUUGGUCAUGGGAGUUCUGUGGGCCGGGUUUGGUUCAAUUCCAUUGUUGGUGAAGUUCAGGAUGUUCUUUGAUUGUAGGUGAACUAUAAAUCCCAAAUGACAAAAUCAAUCUCGCUCAACCCCACCAGAAUCAUAGAAUCAUAGAAUAGUAGAGUUGGAAGAGACCUCAUGGGCCAUCUAGUCCAACCUCCUGCCAAGAAGCAGGAAAUCGCACUCAAAGCACCAGUAUUCAAAUUUGGGCAUAACUGGCAUUUGUGGCAAAUUUGUUCCAGUGAAUGUUAAUACAUCCUGUAUAUCAGACAUUUAUAUUACUAUUCAUACCAAGAGGAAAAUGACAGUUAUGAAGUAGCAACGAAAAUAAUUUUAUGGUUGGGGGUCACCACAACAUGAGAAGCUGUAUUAAGUGCUCAUGACAUUAGGAAGGUUGGGAAGCACUGCUUUAAAGCAAUAGAUAAUGUCUGAUUGUGGAAGCUAAGUAGGAUUAGCCUUGGAUGGGAUAUGAUCAACGAAGCCCAGGUGCUUUAGGCCAGGGGUCCCCAAACUUUUAAAGCAAAGGGCCGGUCUACAAUCCUUCAGACUGUUGAGAGGCCGAAUUAUCAUUUAAAAAAAAAUACGAGCAAAUUCCUAUGCACACUGCACAUGUCUUAUUUGUAGUGCAAAACAACAACAAUAACAAUGAAAGAACAAUGCAAUAUUUAAAAAUGAAAACAAUUUUAACCAACAUAAACCUAUCAGGAUUUCAAUUGAAAGUGUGGUCCUGCUACUGGCCAGUGAGAUAGUCAAGUUAAUUAUGGUUGUUGUUGUUGUUGUUGUUGUUGUUGUUGUGUGCCUUCAAGUCAUUUCAGAAUUUGGGUGAGCCUAAGUCUAAAAUUAAUUAUUUAUUUACUUACUACAUUUAUUUACUACAUUUAUAUCCCACCCUUCUUACCCCGAAGGGGACUCAGAGCAGCUGUAUGUACAUACAAUAUAUUAUAUUAUUAGCGUAGCACAAUAUUAGCAUUAUACAUUACUAUAUUGAACUAUACCACUAUACUGUAAUACUAUAUGUAAUAUAUAACAUAUAAUUAAUAUUAUUAUAUGGUAGUAUUAUUAUUAGUAUUAUAAUGUAUAACAAUAUUUUUAUCAAUAUUAUAUGUAUAUACAAUAUAUUAUAUUAUUAAAACUGAUAUAAAAAUAUAUUAUAAAACUGAGGGUUGGGGCCAGGUAAAUGACCUUGGAGGGCCGCAUCCGGCCCCCGGGCCUUAGUUUGGGGACCCCUGCUUUAGGCUAUACUUCAGAAGGAGGAACUGGCACAAUCUAGAUCCAGAUCAACCCAAAUUGGGAGAAUUGAGGGAGACAUUCCCAUCUCUUGCAGUUCAUCAACAGGAAGGAGAAUAGCAUUGAAGGAGGCAAUGACUCUUGCAAAAGCUUUCAUGGGAAGCACUGAGUAAUUCACCACUCCAACGUGGUGUAGUGGUUUGAAU